rnacentral:rRNA from 1 species
UACGAAGGGGGCUAGCGUUGUUCGGAAUUACUGGGCGUAAAGCGCGCGCAGGCGGGUCUUCAAGUCAGAGGUGAAAUCCCAGAGCUCAACUCUGGAGCUGCCUUUGAAACUGGUGAGCUUGAGUACGGGAGAGGUGAGUGGAAUUCCCAGUGUAGAGGUGAAAUGCGUAGAUAUGGGGAAGAACACCGGUGGCGAAGGCGGCUCACUGGCCCGUAACUGACGCUGAGGCGCGAUAGCGUGGGGAUCAAACAGG